rnacentral:lncRNA from 1 species
AUGAAACCAGGCGAUUUCUCUGGGUUCCCGCCAGAUCUCCCCAGGGGCAGGAACAGAAGCAGCCCUGGGAGGAGGAGGGACCGCAGGCCACAGAGCAGGGGAGGAGGCACUGUGCCCUCUCCACAGGUAAUUGGCCCACAAGGGUGUUGUCUCCCGCAGGAGGCUGGUGUUCCCCUCGCUGAGCCCUCACAGUCCCAAAGCAGAGUGACAGCGUGUGCCUGGCAGAUCGUCCACGUUGCCAUAGCAACCGGCUUGCCCCUGGAGCCGUGGGUUCAUGGCAAAAUGAUCCGGCCUCUCUUAAAGGUUGCUGAUGCGGCUCUGGCCAGGAUGCAGGCCAGGAUGCUUAUGGAGGUGACAUAGGCUGACGUCUGGAUGCCAUCCAGCCCAGCACCUGGGAAGAUGAGAAUAAGAGUGGAGAAUCCACAGCUGAUGACAGCAAGGGUGUGGACUUGUUGCAAGGAAGGCCAGGCUGUCCACGCGACUCAGCAGCUGCACAACGUGACCAACAGCCGAUGAGAAGAAACCCUGGACGUCCCCCUCUAGAACAACCAGUGGACGUUUCCCACAUUUGUUGUACUUAUUAUUUAAUAUUAUUAUUAUUAUUGGCAGUAGUGGUAGCAGCAGUAGUCUUUAUAAAAACCUUUGAGAGUAAACUGCAGACUUCAUGAUGCUUUACCUCUUAAAUUCGUAUGUCUCCUAAUAGCAAAGACAUUCUUUCCCACAGUAAAGUGACCAAAUCUGGGAAAUUUAACAAUGAUACAAUAUUAUUACGUAAUUCACAGUCUAUAUUCAAAUUUGCCAAUUGUCCCAAUGAUGUUCUUUAUAACAUUUUUUUUUCCAAUUCAGGAUCACAUAUAAUUGUCAUGUGCUUUUUUGCCUUAUACAAGAAAUAUUUGUCUAUUCCAGUGUCACAAAGAUUUUUUUGUAUGUGUUCCUUUAGAAGUUUUGUAGUUUUAGCUUUUAUCUCUAAGACUACAAAUGGAUUGCUUGUUUACUCGACGGUGAUAUAAUCUAUUAACGUCAUUGUUUAUUUGAUGGUCAUAUUGUCCCAGCUUAAUCAGUAGAAGCCCAUCCAGGCCAGCUCCCAUGUCUUUUGGCAAAGUCCCAUAAUUUUUUGAACACAUCCUUAUUUUCUGGCGCAAUAAGGUGAUCCAGGCUCAUCUUGUGCUUUCACUGAUCCAGCCCUAGAAUUAGUCAUUUUUCCAAGAACCCCUGGUUCCUUUUGGUAUAGUGAUAAUUAAAAACCAAGAUCUGGGUACUAGGUUGCUCACUGCUGUUAGGGUAUUAAUUGCUUCUGUCUGUCUAUCUAUCUACCUACCUACUAUCUAGAAUACUCUCAUUUCACGCCGAGGCAGCGUCCCAUAUGUCACAACUAGAAGGACCCACACUAAAAUACACGACUAUGUACUGGCGGGAUUUGGGGAGAAGCAGCAGGAAAAAAAAAAGAAAGAAAGAUUGGCAACAGUUGUUAGCUCAGGUGCCAAUCUUUUAAAAAAAACAAAACCAAAAAAACCAGCUAUUAGAAUACUCUCAUUUCAAUUCAACAAAUACCUGAGCAUUCUUUUUAGUCUUCUCCCACAGCAAGAACCCUGGCUCCUGACGCACCGAUGUAUUUACUUGUUUGCUUAAUUCUACAAUAUACCAAAAUAGUUUCAGGAUUGCUAUAACACUGAUCUACAAAAAACCUACUAAGCAGAGUUUAAGAUUUCUUUUUACUUUUUUUUUUCUCAUUCUGUUCCAACCCAUCAUCUGUAGGCAGCCAACGGCAUUAAUUUCUGGCUUAUCCAUUCUGUUUCUUUUUGAAGGAAUAAGCUUUCUUACUCAUAUGGCAUACUAAAUAUACUCUUUUGUGCUUUGUGGGCUUUUUUUCACUCAAUAGCAUACUCUGAAAGUCACUCCAUACCAGUUUAUAGAGAGCUCCUAAUUUGUUUUCAUAGCUGCAGAGCCCUCUGCUGUGUGGACAUCAUAGUUUACUAGCCGAUCUCCAUGUUAGCGUAUUUAGGUUGUUUGGGGUUUUUUUUGCAAUUACAAGUAAUGCUGCAAUAAAUUACCUUGUGCACAGGUAUUUUUGUAUUGU